rnacentral:rRNA from 1 species
AGCAGCCGCGGUAAUUCCAGCUCCAAUAGCGUAUAUUAAAGUUGUUGCAGUUAAAAAGCUCGUAGUUGAAUUUCGGGAUCAAUACGUCGGUCGUGCCUCUGGUAUGUACUGGUGUUAUUGAUUUCUCCCUUCUGAUGAAUCACGAUGUCAUUAAUUUGGUGUCGUGGGGAGUCAGGACUGUUACUUUGAAAAAAUUAGAGUGUUUAAAGCAGGCUUACGCUUGAAUACAUUAGCAUGGAAUAAUGAAAUAGGACGUUCGAUCCUAUUUUGUUGGUUUCUAGGAUCAACGUAAUGAUUAAUAGGGAUAGUUGGGGGCAUUAGUAUUCAAUUGUCAGAGGUGAAAUUCUUGGAUUUAUUGAAGACUAACUACUGCGAAAGCAUUUGCCAAGGAUGUUUUCAUUAAUCAAGAACGAAAGUUAGGGGAUCGAAGACGAUCAGAUACCGUCGUAG